rnacentral:rRNA from 1 species
GUGGAGUUUCCAAUGUGACUGCAGCGGCGGAAUCACUAGUGAUUCUGUCAUUAGAGAAGUAAAGUCGUACAAGUCUCGUGGUGACCAGCGGAGGGAUCAUA